GUGGGGAGUUUCCGGAUUACACGUUUUCAAAUUACUGUGAAGGAAUGAACUGUGGAUGUCUAACGAAGAUGUUCACGAUUGUAGGUCGGAGGGAAAGUAAAAGUCAUCGAGUAGUGCUUGAAAAAUGAAGUGGGCUGUCCAACAUUUGGGGCCUCUGGAUAGAUAGAACCACCUCUCAAAAGGCACCUACACGUGAAAAUAACCUCUGCUACCUCUUGGAAGGACAGGAGAUGCAAUCAUAAAGGGGUUUAAUGUGAGAAGUGGUCGACUGAUGAAAAAUGAAUGAGCUUCUGAGAUUUUCCCAGCUUGGUGUCUCUUUGUGAAUGGUAGUGAAGAGAGCAUCCUGUAGACCUCCUUGACUGUUGGCAUGGGUCAACUUUCAGGCCGUGCUUUGGUAUUUAAUGUCUGGCAUCCUUUUUCUAGCUGGUAACAUGAGCAUGAUACUGUACAGCAAUAUUUGGCCAUUACUUGGCAUUUUAUGAAUGUGGGAUACUGAAGCACAGUAUCCCACAUUCAUAACCUGGAGAUUUUUGGAAGAACUGAAUAGUAAUUUCAAAGUGUUUCAUAUUAUGUUGCUCAUGCAACAACCCACUAAGGUGUUAUGAUCAUAAUAUUGCAAAAAUGGGACCAGGGUAAGCCCCAAACUAUUUGCUGUCUGACUCCAAGGACAGGAUGAUGCUCUUCCUUCAGGCUGUAUGGUGCAUUAUGUUGUGUUUUGCAUCAAGGGAAAGCAAGAAGUAGGCUCAGGAAAAACAGCAAAGGCACUGCUUUUCCUGCUGUAGGAUCUGCCAUCAGAGGCAUUUGCCUCAUUCUGACCCAAGCCCGGAAGGGAAAAAAGAGGCAGAAAAAACAGCUAUUUUGCUGUCUCUUUCCUCUUUUUCCUGAUUCCCAUAUUGCAGAAACCAGUAAAAAGAAAAGUGUGCCCUACCUAAAAAAUUAUUUGUGUCUAUGGCUUGUACAGAAUAUAAUAACCUACCUCUUCAUGGUGGUUUAGUAGGAGUACUUCCGUAUCUGGGACAAAUUCUAAUUACUGCUUUUAAUCCAGCCCUGUCCUGCCUAAUGCUCUGCAGGUACGCCAGACAACACAACAGUUUCAUGACCCAUCAUCCUUAUCCAGCUCAGCCACAGGUUGCAGAUUUCAAGUUACAAAUGUGUAAACAAUUAAGGUCUAACAAAUCAUUUAGUGAUUGAACCACUUCAGGUUCAGUAGUGCUAAAUGUUACCCUUUUCAUUACCUCACUGGCUCAUUUACGGACCCCAUUACUGCUGGCUAAUUGAAAUAGGCAGCUAUGAAAAGCUAAG